GCGUAGAUCUACAAGAGAUCAAGAAGGGUGAUGUUCUGGAUGCUGAUCUCGACUAAUAGUUGCCGGAUGAACUAUGCAAUGACAGCAUGGAUGAGGUAAUUAAUAUCUUGAUUUACUCAUUUGUACAGCUAGAUAAGAGUAACUUUGCAAUAUCAUAGUGCCCGUUGAAUUGUUUUUUUUUAAGAUAGAAAUUUUUCAUAUCAUCCAUGCAGAUUUGCUCGUCUAUCUUAAUUUCUAUAAUACUACUACUAUUUAAAAUAACAAUCUUACUAUUAGUCAAUUCAAGGACUACUUUGCCCUUUGGAUGCUCUUGGGUGCAAAUGUCUUAUUGGACUAUUAGUGGAGUCACUUGUCGAUGGACCGUUUGGUACCUAAUGUACUUCCAUAGUUUACAACCUCUCAUUAACUGUGACUGUACAUUUCCAACGAUAUUUUGUAAUAGACACACGCCCAAAGUUUUAAUAACGCACUAAGGCUCUUAGCGGCGGACAUCUUCUAAAUGCUAUAGCAAGCUAUUUAAAAUAAAAUGUUUAAAUCGGGCCGGUCUUACUCCUGCAAUACUCCUGGAAUAGUACAUGAGAUUUAGCCACUGGACUCUCACUGAAGUCUGAUUCAUGCAGCUUUGUGUGCAGUUCACAUUUACCUGGUGGACCAUCACCAACCGGAUGGAGGUGAAGCAAGUGGGCAAGUUAGGGAAAUGCUCGGAAGGCUAUCGAGAAGAUCAACGAUCUUAACCCCACGAUCCUAAUUUCAGUUUGUACCUCGUUGUUGGGCUGUCAGAAAAGUUUGGAGCAGGAGCAAUGAUAUGACAAUUGUGGCUAACUUUCUUGUCAUUAGUCAUAUAUGUGCUAAUGGACCUUCCGGGUUCUCCACCAUUAUGUUACCGGCCGGUUUCUCAUCUGAAAAAUACCCCAUAGCAUAGUGGACAAUGCUUUUUUUGGUCAGAAGUAGUAUUUCUACAUGAAACUAAGGUAUAUAUGCGUAUGAGAAAUGUGGCUUAUCUUUAGAUAAUGCUUUUUUUGUUAGAAGUUGUUUUUCUACAUGAAACUAAGGUAUAUAUGCGUAUGAGAAAUUAUAUCUUUGCUUAACUCAAAAAAUUGUAUUUGCUCCUUUUAGCGGGAGCCUGGAGGUAAUACGGUUUGUACAGCAUGGUUUGAAUAAGAUAUUGUUUGUAUACUGUUGAGUGAAGUAUUGUAUAACUACUGUAAAGUGGGUGUAGGUUUUUAUUGUGCAUUUUUCACAGAGGUUUGGGCGUUUGGACACAACCAUAUGUACAAGUUGAAGCCUUCAUUUGGUAUUGACUUCUUAUCUUGACUCAAAUUUUGACAAUUCUCUAUAAUACUUCCAUCUGGAAGCACAAAAUCUGAUAGAAUUGAUUCGUGUGGGAAAAAUACAUGAAGCUUUGAAGUUUUCUCAAGAAGAACUAGCACCAAGAGCCGAGUAAACGGUAAUUUUUUUGUUAAAACAUCUCACUUACCUUAGUUAAAAACCAGGGUUUGAAACUAUAUUAGUCAGAAUACAGUUCUUGAUGUCAGCUAGAUUUCAUUUUCUGGUAAUAUCAUUUGUCGUUAAGAACAUGUUCUUAUGUUAUAUUUUAUUUGUAAACUUUUGGCAAUUUUUUCAGCAAGCAUUUCUUUAGGAAACAAAGAAAACUAUAGCAACUAUUUGAUGUUUCUCGACGCUUGAAGACAACAAGUGAAGUUGCUACCAUCUUACAAGCCAAAGUCAUGAGAAAGGUAUGCACUAUGUGGCAGAGGCAUGCAUAUGAUGUGAUGCCCGUUUUAUUUUCAUAUAUAUCUUACGAUUUAAUUUCACUGUAGUGUACCUAAAUCCAUGUGGUAAUGUCAUUGGCAUACAUAAUUUUUUACGCAUACAAACAUUGUUCUCUCACAACAGGAGCACUGAAGUGUGAUUCAUGCAGCUUUGUGUGCGAUUCACAUUUACCCGGUGGACCAUCACCAACCGGAUGGAGGUGAAGCAAGUGGGCAAGUCAGGGAAAUGCUCGGAAGGCUAUCGAGAAGAUCAACGAUCUUAACCCCACGAUCCUAAUUUCAGUUUGUACCUCGUUGUUGGGCUGUCAGAAAAGUUUGGAGCAGGAGCAAUGAUAUGACAAUUGUGGCUAACUUUCUUGUCAUUAGUCAUAUAUGUGCUAAUGGACCUUCCGGGUUCUCCAUUAUGUUUACCGGCCGGUUUCUCAUCUGAAAAAUACCCAUAGCAUAGUGGACAAUGCUUUUUUUGGUCAGAAGUAGUAUUUCUACAUGAAACUAAGGUAUAUAUGCGUAUGAGAAAUGUGGCUUAUCUUUAGAUAAUGCUUUUUUUGUUAGAAUUUGUUUUUCUACAUGAGACUAAGGUAUAUAUGCGUAUGAGAAAUUAUAUCUUUGCUUCACCCAAAAAAUUGUAUUUGCUCCUUUUAGCGGGAGCCUGGAGGUGAUACGGUUUGUACAGCAUGGUUUGAAUAAGAUAUUGUUUGUAUACUGUUGAGUGAAGUAUUGUAUAACUACUGUAAAGUGGGUGUAGGUUUU
rnacentral:lncRNA from 1 species